rnacentral:rRNA from 1 species
AUUGAACGCUGGCGGCAGGCCUAACACAUGCAAGUCGAACGGUAACAGGAAACAGCUUGCUGUUUCGCUGACGAGUGGCGGACGGGUGAGUAAUGUCUGGGAAACUGCCUGAUGGAGGGGGAUAACUACUGGAAACGGUAGCUAAUACCGCAUAACGUCUCAAGACCAUAGAGGGGGACCCUCGGGCCUCUUGCCAUCGGAUGUGCCCAGAUGGGAUUAGCUUGUUGGUGGGGUAACGGCUCACCAAGGCGACGAUCCCUAGCUGGUCUGAGAGGAUGACCAGCCACACUGGAACUGAGACACGGUCCAGACUCCUACGGGAGGCAGCAGUGGGGAAUAUUGCACAAUGGGCGCAAGCAUGAUGCAGCAAUGCCGCGUGUAUGAAGAAGGCCUUCGGGUUGUAAAGUACUUUCAGCGGGGAGGAAGGGAGUAAAGUUAAUACCUUUGCUCAUUGACGUUACCCGCAGAAGAAGCACCGGCUAACUCCGUG